rnacentral:misc_RNA from 1 species
GAUGAAGAACGUAGCGAAAUGCGAUAAGUAAUGUGAAUUGCAGAAUUCAGUGAAUCAUCGAAUCUUUGAACGCACAUUGCGCCCCUUGGUAUUCCGAGGGGCAUGCCUAUUCGAGCGUCAUUAUCACCCCUCAAGCCUAGCUUGGUGUUGGGGCUUGCUGUAAAGGCAGCCUCUAAAAUCAGUGGCAGUGCUGUCAGGCUCUAAGCGUAGUAAAUUCAUCGCUAUAGGGUCCUGGUGGAUACUCGUCAAACCCCCCAUUUUUAAUGAUUGACCUCGGAUUAGGUAGGGAUACCCGCUGAACUUAAGCAUAUCAAUAAGCGGAGGA